AUAUAUAUAUCUGUGUGUGUGUGUGUGUGUGUGUGUGUGUGUGUGUGUGUGUGUGUAUACAUGUAUGUAUAUUAUGGUGGUUCAUCACUGAUAGCACUAAGAGAACAUGGCAGUUUGCAGUUUGACUUGUAAAAAAAUUGUUCAAUUCAGUUAAAUUAUUUAUUAUUAUCAAACACAAAUAAAAACAAGUCUAGUUAAAAAGCAUGAAACAACUACUAGAUAUUUUCCUUGCUUUUUCCUAUUGGCACCAUCAUGUUAAAUGAAAUCAGAGAACUCCAGCUUGGAGAAAGUCUGAUUUCAGAGUGGGAAUUGAGCUGGAGGGCCAUUCAGAAAUCGUCUGAAAUUUUCCGGUUCCCAAAAGAUUGUGAAUGCAGCAUUAGCUCUGUACAGUACACAGAUAAUGGCUGAUAAUGGCUGACUUGUAAUGUUCAAGAUAUUAUUAAAAAUUUAGGUUACUUCAAAGUGCUAGGAUCUAUUGCAUGUGAAACUUCAGCUGUUCCAAAAGGACCUUACUUUAUAAAUGAAGUACGCUCACAGAAAAAAAAAAUUGCUUGGUGAAAGAUUAAUAAAUAGUAUUUACAUAUGCUUGUCAUUAGCUUUAAGUAAGAUGGCCCACCUCUCACUCUGGAACAUUCCGCAUCAUUUUAAGUUACGUUCAUUUUCCUUCAUAUUUAAUCAGGUUUUAAUAGAAAAUUCUCCUGACUGUACCUGACAUUUUCUUUGCAUUUUAUAUCUGUAGUCAUUCCCAACAGGUUCACGUGGUGGGCUUUGUCUGGAAAGGUUUCAAAGCUUUGUCAGGAAAAUUCAGAACUUCAGAGCACUCUCAUAUAUCCUUUGGUUAGAAUUUGGUGAAAAGCUAUUUACUAUGGUGGCCUGUAAAUGCAAAAUAUCAGAUACAGCAAUUCAAUAAGCACAACAACAAACCCCAAAAUGCAACAGCAGAUUCAGCAGCAUGACAAUAAAUUCAUAAACACAAGCAUUGUGGCAGUGAUAACUUGGUGGCAUUGGACUUCUGACCAGAAGGUCAUAAGUUCAAAUCCCAUCACCACCAAGCUGCCACUGUUGGGCCCUUGAGCAACAAUCAACUGCUCAGUUAUAUAAAUGAGAUAUAUGUAAAUCACUUUGGAUAAGGGUGUCUGCCAAAUGCCAUAAAUGUAAAUGUAACAGCAAAAUUAAAAACAUGAGAACAAAACAAAAAAAAGCAAACAGCUUUAUGGAGCAUUCAAGUCAUGUCGGAAAGAUCGUAUUUACGAGUUGAACGCUACCACAAAGUCAGAAUUAUGAGUAGGAAACUCUUUCUCAGGAAGCUCUGUUUCUGAGUUGGGGACAUGUCAGUAAGAAAACAUGGUGGAAUCAAUGGAUGCAACCUCUGUAGUUGAUGGUAAAUUAGUUGAAAUUGAAGGUUUACUAGUCUCAGAAACUGAUUUCAGUUAUUAUGUGUUUGGUAUAUGUAGCAAACCUGCACAAGUGCCUGCACAAAAUAUGAAAGCAUUGUACAAUUACGAUAUAAUAUGUAAUGAUAAAGUUUCAUAAAUUGCUUAAAAGCAUAAAAAAGCAAAAACAUACCUGAUGCAAAUUCAAUGCUUUUCAUUUCCUUAAAGUACAGUUUUUAAAAAACCCCUCUUUUUUAAUAGUUAAUUAAGAGGAGAUACAUCACCAUCUUGCGCUGACCAAAAUGACUUGAACGCACUUGACGUCGUAAUUACACGUCGUAAUUACGACUUCCCAACUCGUAAAAAUGAACUUCCCAGGAAACAUGAUAGAAAAUUUGGAAACACAAAAACACACUCAAAGCAGAACAGCAUGUCCUUAUUGAACAUCACAUGCUUGUUACUGAUUGGCUACAGUCUGUGUCAAAGAGUGUGUGUCAGCGCUGUGGGUAAAGGGACGCAUCAAAGGGAUGUGAUUAAGUUCAAAGAAAUGAGAUCAUACAGGAAAAGCUCAGACUCACAGAUGAGAGAGUACAUUAAGAAGUCACAUGGUAAUAUUAGCUAUGUUUUUUCUUUGAAUAUUCAUUGCUCUGUCAAAAAAAAAAAAAACAUUUUAAAAAAUGGGAAAAACAAAAUCGGAGUUUCUCCUCUCAGCAGUUAAUUUUGUCUUGUUUGUAUUUGGGUCUCUAUGCCAGCACUGCAUAGUAUUUCCCCAGCAGCCAUUCUGUUUCAUAAUUAAACAGUGAAAAACUAAACUACAUACACCAAGCUACCUGGGGGACUGUUACAGAAGAGCUGAAGGAGUUUUAUAUUGUGCUGGUUGGUCUGACAUAUCUUAAUCUCAUUUGAUUUCAUUAACAGCCAGUAUACGGUGCUAUAUGAAUAUGCAUUACUGGGUUAGCAAAAAUCAGUUCAGCUCAACAAAGCUGGUGUCAGCUUUAUAACAUUCAGCUAAAUUUUUUGCCACUUGUUGCAUGUAAUACAUGAAACAUUUCUUAACCAAUAAAUAAGUCUUUCAGAUUUCAGAAGUCCACAUGCUCUUCAUACAUGAUACUCAGCUACAGUAUGCUAGAUUAGUGCUUAUUAGUGACUUUGAAUAUUUUGGAAAUUAACAUUGAUUCUCUCUUAAAUUAUGUAAAAUGUGUUCUGUGUGUUCUUACUGUAUGACAUGUAAAUGAUGUAUGCUGUAUUUUUUUUUGACUUUGUAUUAUACACAGACCUUACACACAGACACAGGCUGUAAAUAACGUGUUUAUAUUUCACUCUGGAAAGCUUUUUUUUUUUUCAUUUUCACCCUGUUAAUAACCCUUUCCGCUGUUAUAUAAAAUAUAUAAAAUAACUCUUUUUUUUGAGGUCCUAUUUUGUUUCAAUGUAUAUGUCGCCUUCACUGUAUAGUUUUGCUUGAUAAUUAAAUCUUUUGCAAACAGGAGUGUUGUUUUUUUCCCCCCUCACACUCUCUGCUUUUUGUAUUUCACUUGGGUUAAAAUUAGUGCAUGGUUCAUAUGAGCACAUAAAAAUUGAUGUGAGUGAGAAAUAUUAUCCUAAGGUGUUAACUAUGCACAACGUCUCUCAUUUGCAGGUCUCCCAGAGCUCUUUGCUGUCUGCUUGGUGUAUGACAGUCAAUCGUAUAGCCUCAUUGUUUCUCAUCCAUUACACACACACACACACACACACACACACACACACACACACACACACACACACACACACACACACACACACACACACACACACACACACACACACACACACAGAUGCCCAUUUCCACUAUCA
ensembl:lncRNA